UACGUAGGGACCAAGCGUUGUUCGGAUUUACUGGGCGUAAAGGGCGCGUAGGCGGCGCGGUAAGUCACUUGUGAAAUCUCUGAGCUUAACUCAGAACGGCCAAGUGAUACUGCAGUGCUAGAGUGUGGAAGGGGCAAUCGGAAUUCUUGGUGUAGCGGUGAAAUGCGUAGAUAUCAAAGAGGAACACCUGAGGUGAAGACGGGUUGCUGGGCCAACACUGACGCUGAGGCGCGAAAGCCAGGGGAGCAAACGGG
rnacentral:rRNA from 1 species